CUUGUUCCCGUACGAUCAUCGAAGUUAAGCAACGUUGAACGUGGUCAGUACUUAGAUGGGUGGCUACUUGAGAAUACCAGGUGCUGUAAG